rnacentral:rRNA from 1 species
AAGCGUUCAUGACCAGACUUGGGCAGGUUGAUCAUCCGUGGUUCUCCGCGGUGCACUCUGCCUGCCCAGGCCAGCAUCAGUUCGCUGUGGGGGAUAAAGGCUUUGGGAAUGUGGCUCCUCCGGGAGUGUUAUAGCCCAUUGUGUAAUACCCUGUGGUGGACUGAGGUUCGCGCAUCUGCAAGGAUGCUGGCGUAAUGGUCAUCAGCGA